CUUUUUUACUUUUCCCCAGUUCAAUAGCAUUCUCAUUACUUUUGCUUUGAACUCUUUAUCAGAUAAAUUAUUUAUCUCUGCUUCAUUAAGGUUUUUUCAGGGGGUUUUUAUUUCUUUUUCUUUUCUUUGUCUUCUCAUUCUGUUUAACUUUGUCUGUAUGAAAUUAGGUGAAACAGUUACCUAUCUGGUCUUGAAGGUGUGCCCUUGUGUGUGAGUGUCCCUGUGCGGUUUGCACGUGUCCAGUGGCUUUGGUGGAAGAGCUGGAUUUGAAGUGAGCAGGGCUGCAUAUGUCGCGGUGGUGUGCUGGCAGUGUUUGCCACGUAGGAGGUAAGGCUGGGGUUGGAAGGACUAAAGCCAGAACUACGUGCAAGCCAGGGCUUCUGCUGUGCUCAGUGGUCAUCACAGCCCUCUCAGGUGUGAGGCCAGGAGCAGGUGCCCUGAGGGAGUUAGGUUUUUCCUGGGGGUGAAUGGUAGUCUCCACCUUGAUUUGGGAUGCGGCUGAGGCCUGAGGGCUUAGGGCUGCACUUCUGUGCUGGUUUCCCUUUUUCCCUGGUGUGCAAGCCUUGGUUGGAGGCUGGGUUGGGGCCUGAGGAGUUGCUGCCUCACCACUGGGCUGGCCCCAUCCUCUCCCAAGUGUGCACAGGGAAGGGAGCUUUGGAGAACGUGGUCUCUGCCUGGGAGCUAGUUUCACUCCCAAGUGUGUGCACCAAAACGCAUGCUAGCAAUGGCUGCCUCAGCCCUGGCCAGAGGCAUGGGCGGGGUCUGAGUUGCCUCUGCUCCCUCCAAUAAUACCCAUUCUCAUUGGAAACAGCGACCUCCGCCUUCGUGGGGAGCAAUGCCAGAGCGAGAGGGGCUGGGGCAGGAGCCUGGUGUGAGCUGUGCGGCGUGCACUGGGGGGGGUCCUGACAGGCAGGCCAGAGCCCCAGGCAGUUUCCAAUCUGCUGCGUCCGUGCUGUGCGUGUGUUCAGGAGGCCUGGUUUCUUACAGCACUCCGAUGUACAUAGUCUGAAAAGGCCUCAAUGAAAAUUAAAUUGUUUUCUGUACGGAACAAAUUCCAAUCGGACUUCAAAAUGAAGAUGCAAACAGAAACAAGAGACAAAUUAAUACCAAUCACCUGAAUAUAAUAAACAAGUGAAGGUGGGAUUUGCUGUGUGCCUAGCAUACGUGAGAUGCUGUUCUAGUCACUAGGGGUACAACAGUGAAUAAAACAGAAAAAUAAUCCUCACUUGUAUGUAGCACACAGUGAGGAAGAAUGAAAAAGGUAAAUAUAAUUAUGGCACGUUAGAAUCUGAUAAUGCCAGGCAAGAAAACCAAGGAGAUACCAGGAAAAGUUGGAGUAUAAAUUAAGGGUUGAAGUGCUGGAAAGACCAUAACAGAAAAGCAGGGUGCAACACACUCUUUUUAAGUAUUUUAGACAGGAAGCUUCUGGCUAGGCUUUUACAUAGUGUCUGACAUGACCUGUGGGCAUUUGGCUGAAGGUGCAGAAUUCCAAAUGGGGAAGACACUAUCAGUGCUUCCAGCUGUCUGCCGGAGAGCUACCUUCAUGUCCUGCCGGCACUUUGAACUCCAAAAGUUUAAAUCAGCUUUCACCCCAGCCUACUCUUGCAUUUCAAGGCUCUGCUAAUCAUGCAGUUGUCUGAGAUGGACACAUCAGAGUCUCCCCGGCUUCUUUUUCUUAUUUCUUAUUUCUCUCCACAUCUGUUUAGUUGUCAAGUAGGCCCUCCCAGUCAUGAAUAGUCAUGAAAGGUCCUCAGGGCAGCUUCCUGAGUGUCCCCAUCACCACUUGUACUGGGUGCAGUGUCGGGACUGCACAGGCAGAAACUGGGAAGGCAUUCAUAGUCAGCCCCACUUAAUCCACAAGGGGAACAUGAAUGUAAUACUGAUUUAAGAAACAGUGCAGGGUAGUCACGAAAUCAAAAUGCACUCUGGCUCAGGCAGGAAGGCCAGAAAGAUCGAAUCCAGUCAGGAUCGUGUCUUGAAGAACUAGUCGUCAGGCUACCAAGAGUUCCAUCCGCAUCCAGUUCUUUCCCGUGCCAGCCGUCCUCACUGGCACGCCAGGUUGGGUCACUCCUGCGGAUCACUGGAGCUUUCCCUUCAGUGUUUCAAGGAUGCCGUGAGCUGAGACACAACUCACCUUCCCCAGCUCUCCCUAGAUUAUUGUAGCCAUCUCCUGACUGGUCUCCCUGCUGCCAGUACCUAUCCCAGCUAUCAAUCCACCUUCCAAAACCACUAGUUCAGAAUUAUCUUUCUCAACAUGGAAACCACGUGCUGCUCCUGUGGGGGGUUUCGUUUAUUUGUUUGUUUGUUUUAAGAUGGAUUGAUUGAUUUUAUUUAUUUUUGGCUGCAUCGGGUCUCAGUUGCAGCACGCAGGAUCUUCGUUGAGGCAUGCAGGAUCUUUCGAUGCGGUACGUGGGAUCUUCGUUGUGGUGCACAGGCUUCUCUCUAGUUGUGGCGUGCGGGUUUUCUCUUCUCUAGGUGUGGCGCAUGGGCUCCAGGGCACGUGGGCUCUGUAGUUUGCGACACGCAGGCUCACUAUUUGUGGCGCGUGGGCUUAGUUGCCAAUGGCAUGUGGGAUCUUAGUUCCCUGACAAGGGAUAAAACCCACGUCCCCUGCAUCAGAAGGCGGAUUCUUUACCACUGGACCACCAGGGAAGCCCCUGCUCCUGUGUUGAAACAAACAAACUUAGAUGCUUCCCCAUUCAGCAUGAUAAGUCAGACUCCUGGGGGACCAUAUUGGACCCUCCAUACACUGGCUCCGCCCCGCUUUUCCAGCCCCAGCUCCUGCCACCUCUCCCAUUUUACCCAUAUGAGUUCUUCCACAGAUAAGUGCAGUUCCCUCAUGCCUGUGUCUUUGGUUACAUUCUUUCUUCUGCCUGGGAUUCCCUUCACUUUUUCUUCUGUCUGGAAGAGAAAAACAGAGACAGAGGGAUAUUCAUUACUUAAAUAAGAGUUUCUUUGCAGUAAUAAAUGAGGACUCCAUGGAAAACAAAAAUAUUCAGCCUUACUGAUGAGCCUAACAUAGAAUUCUACUAUGCAUGUCAUGAGGACAUGAAGAAAUUCAUAGAUAGAGAAAAUCAGUCAACUCAGAAUAAUCAGUAACCUGAUUAUUCUGCCUCUACAGGGGUAAAGAAAAAGUAGUCCCAUGAAACCAUUGCUUAUAAUAAAGACAUCUCAUGUUGACAAAUUGACUGUAAGUCAGGUCAAGAAAUACACUGAUUCUCAACAUUCCUUCUGAUCAAGUCAUGCUACACGCCAUAGGACCAAGGUUACAUUUUGUCCAGGGAGAAAUUCUAGCCAACAAUGUGGGAAAUAACCUGGACAAGAACUUCAGUUCUUUAAAGACAAACGUACCGGAUGUAGUGAAAAAAAUUUGAAACUCCAGAAUAUUUGAAAGGCAAGUUCUGGGGGUUUGAUUAAAAUUCUGGAGACAAAUUUUAAAAAGAUGAACUGUUAAGAGUAAACAAAUAUUUGGAGAAACCAAUAGACAAAAAUACAAAUAUCUCUAAUGGAGGGAUUGGCAUUAAAGGUAUAAUCCUUGGGCUUGAAGAGGACAGAGAAAACAAAAGAAUAUUAUGUAAGGAAGUGGGAUAAAAUAUUGAAAAGAUAGAAAUCUAUACAGAUGUUAUAAGUAUUUAUAAAAUUUAUUUAUCAAGAGAAACUAUUCCUUAGCCCAGAUAUUACUAGUUCAUAGUUUCAUAGUUCAGGAACACAGGUAAGUGACAAACUUCCAUGGAACUCAACCCAAACUCUAAAAGGAACUCUAAAAUUUUUUUCAAAAAUAUAAAAAAUAGGGCUUCCCUGGUGGGACAGUGGUUAAGAAUCUGCCUGCCAAUGCAAGGGAAACAGGUUCGAGCCCUGACCCGGGAAGAUCCCACAUGCUGUGGAGCAACUAAGCCCGUGCGCCACAACUACUGAGCCUGAGCUCUAGAGCCCAUGAGCCACAACUACUGAGCCCACGUGCCACAACUACUGAAGCCUGCACACCUAGAGCCCAUGCUCCCCAACAAGAGAAGCCACGACAAUGAGAAGCCCGCGCACCGAAAGGAAGAGCAGACCCUGCUCACUGCAGCUAGAGAAAGCCCGCAUGCAGCAACAAAGACCCAACAUAGCCAAAAAUAAAAUAAUUUAAAAUAUAUAUAUAUGUAUGUAUAUAUAAAUAUCCCCAAUGAAGUAGAGGCAAUGAAGAGAAGGUAAAGUUUAAAGUCCUGCUUUCUACUGAAGAAGAAAUACAAGCCUGGAGAGGAGCAUGGAGGAGGAAGCAGCAGCCUGGAGUUCAGAACUUACCAGAAGGACAAACCUAAGUAAUUCAGAAGUCUCAGAAAGACACAGAAGGACUCUUGUGUACAAGGAAAAUGAAACUAAACAUUUUAAUCAUUGCAUCAUGCAACUGAAAUAGCCAGAUCUUCAUUCUGAAUCAGGUGGCAAAUACAAUAUAACAAAAGAGAAAAUGAAAGGUGUAAAUCAAUGAAUGGACAACAGGUAGAUCUUUGGAAUGAGGUGCUAAGAGAUCAGAAAAGAGAUGAUUUAUGUCCUGUGUGCAAAAACAGUUACUGAACGCGAGUUCAUGUACCCAACGCACAGUGAGGCCAAAUAAUACCAAGACAUCGGAGUUUGGAGCAGAGAAAGGUUUAUUGCAGGACCAUGCAAGGAGAUGUGGGCUCGUGCCUCCUCGAAGGGUUUCAGCAAAGCACUUUUAUAGGCAAGGUGAGGGAGGGGCAUGGUUAGUUGUUGCAAACUUCUUGGUGUCUGCGCACUGAGGAUUUACUAUGUGGGGUCUGAAACGGUGGUCUCUGUAGUGCAUGCAUCCCUUCCACGUUUAUCUGCUGGCGCUCUU